rnacentral:rRNA from 1 species
AUGGAAUGAGUACACUCUAAAUCCUUUAACGAGGAUCGAUUGGAGGGCAAGUCUGGUGCCAGCAGCCGCGGUAAUUCCAGCUCCAAUAGCGUAUGCUAAAGCUGCUGCGGUUAAAAAGCUCGUAGUUGGAUCUCAGUUACGGGCGGGUGGUGCAUCUACCCGAUGUGACAGCCCGAUCUGAACAUCUUACCUUCUAUCCUCUGGUGUCCUUCACUGGAUGCCUUUGGGUGGUCGGUGCAUUUACUUUGAAAAAAUUGGAGUGCUCAACGCAGGCGAAGUGCCUGAACACUUAUGCAUGGAAUAAUAGAACAAGACCCCGUUUCUGUUCUGUUGGUUUUUGGAAAACGAGGUAAUGAUCAAGAGGGACAGACGGGGGCAUUCGUAUUGCGGCGCUAGAGGUGAAAUUCUUGGACCGUCGCAAGACGAACUACAGCGAAAGCAUUUGCCAAGAAUGUUUUCAUUGAUCAAGAACGAAAGUUAGAGGUUCGAAGGCGAUCAGAUACCGCCCUAGUUCUAACCAUAAACGAUGCCAACCAGCAAUCCGCCUGAGUUACUCCAAUGACUCUGCGGGCAGCUUCCGGGAAACCAAAGUAUUUGGGUUCCGGGGGAAGUAUGGUUGCAAAGCUGAAACUUAAAGGAAUUGACGGAAGGGCACCACCAGGAGUGGAGCCUGCGGCUCAAUUUGACUCAACACGGGAAAACUUACCCGGCCCGGACACUGGGAGGAUUGACAGAUUGAGAGCUCUUUCUUGAUUCG